AGUGAACGCUGGCGGUAGGCCUAACACAUGCAAGUCGAACGGCAGCACAGUAAGAGCUUGCUCUUACGGGUGGCGAGUGGCGGACGGGUGAGGAAUACAUCGGAAUCUACUUUUUCGUGGGGGAUAACGUAGGGAAACUUACGCUAAUACCGCAUACGACCUACGGGUGAGAGCAGGGGAUCUUCGGACCUUGCGCGAUUGAAUGAGCCGAUGUCGGAUUAGCUAGUUGGCGGGGUAAAGGCCCACCAAGGCGACGAUCCGUAGCUGGUCUGAGAGGAUGAUCAGCCACACUGGAACUGAGACACGGUCCAGACUUCUACGGGAGGCAGCAGUGGGUACUAUUGGACAAUGGGCGCAAGCCUGCUCCAGCCAUACCGCGUGGGUGAAGAAGGCCUUCGGGUUGUAAAGCCCUUUUGUUGGGAAAGAAAAGCAGCAGGUUAAUACCCCGCUGUUCUGACGGUACCCAAAGAAUAAGCACCGGCUAACUUCGUG
rnacentral:rRNA from 1 species